AGAGUUUGAUCAUGGCUCAGGAUGAACGCUGGCGGCAUGCCUAAUACAUGCAAGUCGAACGGAGAAGGAAGGUGCUUGCAUCUUCCGGAUCAGUGGCGAACGGGUGAGUAACACGUAGGUAACCUGCCCAUGUACCCGGGACAACGGUUGGAAACGACUGCUAAAACCGGAUAGGCAUAUGGAAGGCAUCUUCGAUAUGUUAAAGGGGCCACGGCCCUGGACAUGGAUGGACCUGCGGUGCAUUAGCCAGUUGGUGAGGUAACGGCCCACCAAGGCGACGAUGCAUAGCCGACCUGAGAGGGCGAACGGCCACAUUGGGACUGAGACACGGCCCAAACUCCUACGGGAGGCAGCAGUAGGGAAUUUUCGUCAAUGGGGGGAACCCUGAACGAGCAAUGCCGCGUGAGUGAAGACGGUCUUCGGAUUGUAAAGCUCUGUUGCGAGAGAAAAAGGACAGGAAGAGGGAAUGCUUCCGGUUUGAUGGUAUCUCGCCAGAAAGUCACGGCUAACUACGUGCCAGCAGCCGCGGUAAUACGUAGGUGGCGAGCGUUAUCCGGAAUGAUUGGGCGUAAAGGGUACGUAGGCGGCCAGAUAAGUCUGGUGUGAAAGGCUGCAGCUCAACUGCAGCACUGCACUGGAAACUGUCCGGCUGGAGUGCAGAAGAGGGCGAUGGAACUCCAUGUGUAGCGGUAAAAUGCGUAGAUAUAUGGAAGAACACCGGUGGCGAAGGCGGUCGCCUGGUCUGCAACUGACGCUGAAGUACGAAAGCGUGGGGAGCAAAUAGGAUUAGAUACCCUAGUAGUCCACGCCGUAAACGAU
rnacentral:rRNA from 1 species